GUUCUAUUUGUUUAGAGAUUAUUUGUCUCGGGCACUGUCUUUUGAUAACUGCAAAUACCUCUGGGAAGUGUCAAGCUGUCUCCCUGCCCCAUACUUCUGUCCUGUUCCCUGAGAAGUCUGCUUGCUGGAUGGAGAACCGAGUCCUUUCCUCCAAAGUAAAAGCAAAGACAAAUGGGAAGCCAAGUGGUUGGUCAGUCUGUCUCUUGGCCAUAUCUCUAUCAGCCAAUCUCACUGUGUGUCAAAGCUGCCAGCCCACGGACUUAAAACCUGGCCAGGUAUUUCUUCAGUGCAUCUUCAAAUGACAAACUCAGGACUCCAUGCCAGUGAAAGUAUGUUCACUUUAGAAGCUUUAGCUUCAUCUUAUUUAUUCAGUGCUGGUGCCUGGACAAAACGUUCUCCUUGAGAAAUGGCUCUGACGCUCCAACCCCAUGUCCCUGGCAGCCUGGACCCCUGAAGCAGGGACCACAACCAGAGAGAGGGGAGGCAGUUCAAUAAUGAGCUGACAGGACUGAGCAUGAUCGAAGUUGUUUGGAGUCUUUGGUGAGCACUGGGUGUCCAACAUAAAC